rnacentral:lncRNA from 1 species
UGAUACUUAAACUAAACAAGCAGAUCAAACAUGGAUUUCAUCUGCACGUGCAAGUGCACCGUGAAAUACCGACACCAAUUAAAAAGCUCUGUAUAUAUUAUAAGAUGUAGAAAUAAACCAGCAGAGCGAGCAACCCCCUGCAGCUUUUUCGCACCUUCUUUGAAGAAACUUAUUGAUUGUAGAAAGCUGAAAGCAAAAAGAUAUGGUUGAUCCUUCGUAUAUGUAUAUUCAUCAUUGCAUCACGUUACUCAGAAUACAUAUAUAUCUAAUGCAUACGGUUUCUUUUUCUUUUCUUUUCUUUUUUUGGGUUCGGAAGAAGCAUAUGCAUAUAUGUAAUGUAAUAUGUUACAACGUAAAUAAAGGGGAGGCUCUCCUCCCCUGCCUCUGGUCUCAGGUCUCAGGGGAGCUUGUUUAAUUAUAAGUGUAUGUAUAAAUUCUCGACGUAAUCUUACAUAAUUUGUAAGAAUUCACUGUCAAUUGCCAUACAGAUGGGACUGUAAUAUUGCAGAGUUUUGUUAUUUACUGCAUGUAUAUACAUGUCAUAUAUUAUAUACGUGACUGAUGAUGACAGACUAGCAAGCAAGCAGAAGGGAUGAGAAUCAAUAUUCGUGCACUACGAGCAGGAGGAGCGCAUAAGCAUGAUGUUACUGGUGGACUGGGAUUGUCCCAUCUCUAAACAUAAGGACAAAACCCUUAGAUGCCUUACACGUGUACCAGCAGCCGUCAAACUCAAAUAUAUAUAUACAUAUGAUCAAUUGAUGAGGGGCGCAGGGGGCCAUAGAUCCCUCAAUUUCAAUAUGUAGCUAGCUAGCUUAGAUGUAUAUAUCCUGUAUUUUCACACCACAAGAGAGAGACAGAGAGAGAGAGACAGAGAAUCAAGAGACUGAUUGGAGUCUAGCUGUCAGCAUCAUAUACAUAUAUAUAUACAGUGAAGAGAGAGAGAGAGAGAGAGAGAGAGAGAGAGAGAGAGAGAGGAUAGACAUGGACAUUUGGAGUUGGGCCGAGGAUUCUGUUGGUCGGCUGAUAAUGAAGCAGGCAGUGACUCGGUGACGCAGAGCCCUCCAAGACUCGCAACUGCUGAUCAAGUAAGUUUGCCUUGGAGUGGAGCUAGCUAAAGCUAAGCCACCUUGCACUUUGCACUUUGAAGGAAGGAAGGGUCCCCUCCCCCUUUAACUUCAAGGGCCAAUUUUAAAUAAUUUCCUGUUACUUUCCUUUCCCUUGUCAUCUCUUAUUAGCAACACUCAUACUCAAACCCUACUUCCUUGGCUUCUUCUUAUUCCUUUCAGAAGUUUCCCUUGUCAUUUUCGUCCUUCUUUAUAUUCUUCAAGAUAUCAUAAUAUUGUACACACCCGCCUCAAUACAGUAGCUGCAUAUUUUUCUAAUUUAUUCAAGUUAACAGUGUUAUGUUGAAGAUAUUAACAGUGUUAUGUUGAAGAUAAGUGUUUGAACACGUGUCGAAAAAUUAUACGAGAAACACAAAGAGAAACGUAUGGAAAAUAAAGACAACGCAAAGAGAAACGUAUGGAAAAUGAGGACAACGAUCCCGUCCCUUGUUAUGUUGGAAUUAGCGACUGUAAAAAAUGAUCAUAAGAAACAUGGUCUAAUAAUUUAUACAGUGAGCAAAUUAAUAAUAAUAAAAAAUAUAAAUAUAACGAAAGAAAUGAAAAGAAUGGGCAUACUUAAAUAAAUAAUUGUACUAGCUAGUGUCUUAAUUAUUUAAAGGGCCACGUAGCAAUAAUUAAUUUUGAUAUAUGUGUGUAGUAAAAAAGGCAUUGGAAGCAUGCAUGUCCCGAUUGAAGGCAUAUCUCUCGAUCAUGUUGUCAUAUUGAUGGUAUCCUCUCCUGCCUUCCUCUUUCUUUUGUUCCCUUGUUACUCGUAAUAAUUUAUUAAUACAUAUGUAUAUGGACAAACAUAUAAAGAGAUUUCAAGAAUUAAUUCAAGGCUACAAACAAAGCAAGAUAUAUACAUGUCAAUUUCGUUGGUCAAUACAUACAGCUUUAAUUUGCUCGAGACAAACACAUGUUGUUGAAUCAUCAUUGUAUCAAGAGAUCAACAAGGGAGGUGUGGGAUGUUGGUUCAUUGCCAUUUACUUGUUGUCUAUAUUUUCAAGGUAAAUCCCCUUCUCAAAGAUAUCAAAAGUCUUUACAAUUUCUUUUAAAGAAUUUAAAUAAUAAUUUUGUUUUUGUUUUUUGGUUUUUGGUUUUUGGUUUUUGUCUAGAUAAUUAAUUAAAUUGUCACAAGAUGGAUGUUGAUCAUAAUGCUCUCCGUCGCUAGUAGACACAAAAGAAUGGUGGGUUGGGGUAAAGGGGGCUUUGCAGUUUGCAAUAUUAAAAAAGCUAAAGACUAGUUUCAGGACCCAUAAUGGACAUGAACCAAACAAGAAAGAGACAGAUAUCAAUAGAUUUCCAGUGAAUUCUUUCCAAAGGUUUGUCACUUGCUCACAAAAAAGCGAUCGAGUCUUUUUUCUUUUUCCCAACAUAUAAGUUAGUUUUGGUAAGCUAGGUUGAAGCUUCCUUCCCAACUCAACUUCAACCCCCUUUCCUUAGAACAUGAUUCCUUCUUUCUUUUAUUCUUGCCAACGAGGAAAAAUAAAAAUUAAUUAACGUGGGUUGAAGAAGUAAACGGACGUACAAUAAUGAAUAAUAAUCUAGCAGCUAGUAGGACAUGGGAGCGUGGGUUGUUGUUUCUCUCUUUUUCUUUCUUCUAGUUUCUUUUUUCUCUUCUUUUCAUCCCCCUUUUCUCUUUGUUAUAUCUUUUUGGUUGUGAUGAUGUGUACCCUUUUAUAGGAAGAUGACCUUUUAGUCUCCAUGUGCCUCUCCUCUCUCCUCUCCUCUCUCCCCUCUCUCCUCUCCCCUCUCCAUCCCCUUCAACCAGGCUUCAGGGCUUUCAAACCGUGCUAGUGCUAGUGCUAGUGCUAGUGCUAUUGGAUCCUCUCACACGAAAGACAAAUAUCCAAAAAGUAGGAGGAUCUACUUACCCGGAAGUGAACCAAAGUAUCACAAAAUCGAGGCAAAACCAUGUGACA